rnacentral:rRNA from 1 species
GAUGAACGCUGGCGGCGUGCCUAAUACAUGCAAGUCGAGCGAACAGAUAAGGAGCUUGCUCCUUUGAAGUUAGCGGCGGACGGGUGAGUAACACGUGGGUAACCUACCUAUAAGACUGGGAUAACUUCGGGAAACCGGAGCUAAUACCGGAUAACAUUUAGAACCGCAUGGUUCUAAAGUGAAAGAUGGUUUUGCUAUCACUUAUAGAUGGACCCGCGCCGUAUUAGCUAGUUGGUAAGGUAACGGCUUACCAAGGCGACGAUACGUAGCCGACCUGAGAGGGUGAUCGGCCACACUGGAACUGAGACACGGUCCAGACUCAUACGGGAGGCAGCAGUAGGGAAUCUUCCGCAAUGGGCGAAAGCCUGACGGAGCAACGCCGCGUGAGUGAUGAAGGGUUUCGGCUCGUAAAACUCUGUUAUUAGGGAAGAACAAAUGUGUAAGUAACUGUGCACAUCUUGACGGUACCUAAUCAGAAAGCCACGGCUAACUACGUG